rnacentral:rRNA from 1 species
UACGGGGGGGGCAAGCGUUGUUCGGAAUUACUGGGCGUAAAGGGCUCGUAGGUGGCCAACUAAGUCAGACGUGAAAUCCCUCAGCUUAACUGGGGAACUGCGUCUGAUACUGGAUGGCUUGAGUUUGGGAGAGGGAUGCGGAAUUCCAGGUGUAGCGGUGAAAUGCGUAGAUAUCUGGAGGAACACCGGUGGCGAAGGCGGCUAUCUGGACGGUUUCUGACACUAAGACUCGAAAGCGUGGGGAGCAAACAGG